rnacentral:lncRNA from 1 species
AUGGCUUCGGCGGGCAGCGGCAUGGAGGAGGUGCGCGUGUCGGUGUUGACUCCCCUUGAAGCUGGUCGGGCUGUUGUGCAUCUUCCUGACGCUGUAUCUGGAUCUGGGGGCGGUGCUGAGCCCGGCCUGGAUCACAGCUGACCACCAGUACUACCUGUCGUUGUGGGAGUCCUGCCGGAAACCCGCCAGCUUGGACAUCUGGCACUGCGAGUCCACGCUCAGCAGCG